UGAAGGGAGCUUGCUCCUGGAUUCAGCGGCGGACGGGUGAGUAAUGCCUAGGAAUCUGCCUGGUAGUGGGGGAUAACGUCCGGAAACGGGCGCUAAUACCGCAUACGUCCUGAGGGAGAAAGUGGGGGAUCUUCGGACCUCACGCUAUCAGAUGAGCCUAGGUCGGAUUAGCUAGUUGGUGGGGUAAAGGCCUACCAAGGCGACGAUCCGUAACUGGUCUGAGAGGAUGAUCAGUCACACUGGAACUGAGACACGGUCCAGACUCCUACGGGAGGCAGCAGUGGGGAAUAUUGGACAAUGGGCGAAAGCCUGAUCCAGCCAUGCCGCGUGUGUGAAGAAGGUCUUCGGAUUGUAAAGCACUUUAAGUUGGGAGGAAGGGCAGUAAGUUAAUACCUUGCUGUUUUGACGUUACCAACAGAAUAAGCACCGGCUAACUUCGUGCCAGCAGCCGCGGUAAUACGAAGGGUGCAAGCGUUAAUCGGAAUUACUGGGCGUAAAGCGCGCGUAGGUGGUUCAGCAAGUUGGAUGUGAAAUCCCCGGGCUCAACCUGGGAACUGCAUCCAAAACUACUGAGCUAGAGUACGGUAGAGGGUGGUGGAAUUUCCUGUGUAGCGGUGAAAUGCGUAGAUAUAGGAAGGAACACCAGUGGCGAAGGCGACCACCUGGACUGAUACUGACACUGAGGUGCGAAAGCGUGGGGAG
rnacentral:rRNA from 1 species